UCCUGACUGACCGAUAGUGAACCAGUACCGUGAGGGAAAGGCGAAAAGAACCCCGGCGAGGGGAGUGAAAAAGAACCUGAAACCGUGUACGUACAAGCAGUGGGAGCACGCUUAGGCGUGUGACUGCGUACCUUUUGUAUAAUGGGUCAGCGACUUAUAUUCUGUAGCAAGGUUAACCGAAUAGGGGAGCCGAAGGGAAACCGAGUCUUAACUGGGCGUUAAGUUGCAGGGUAUAGACCCGAAACCCGGUGAUCUAGCCAUGGGCAGGUUGAAGGUUGGGUAACACUAACUGGAGGACCGAACCGACUAAUGUUGAAAAAUUAGCGGAUGACUUGUGGCUGGGGGUGAAAGGCCAAUCAAACCGGGAGAUAGCUGGUUCUCCCCGAAAGCUAUUUAGGUAGCGCCUCGUGAAUUCAUCUCCGGGGGUAGAGCACUGUUUCGGCAAGGGGGUCAUCCCGACUUACCAACCCGAUGCAAACUGCGAAUACCGGAGAAUGUUAUCACGGGAGACACACGGCGGGUGCUAACGUCCGUCGUGAAGAGGGAAACAACCCAGACCGCCAGCUAAGGUCCCAAAGUCAUGGUUAAGUGGGAAACGAUGUGGGAAGGCCCAGACAGCCAGGAUGUUGGCUUAGAAGCAGCCAUCAUUUAAAGAAAGCGUAAUAGCUCACUGGUCGAGUCGGCCUGCGCGGAAGAUGUAACGGGGCUAAACCAUGCACCGAAGCUGCGGCAGCGACGCUUAUGCGUUGUUGGGUAGGGGAGCGUUCUGUAAGCCUGCGAAGGUGUGCUGUGAGGCAUGCUGGAGGUAUCAGAAGUGCGAAUGCUGACAUAAGUAACGAUAAAGCGGGUGAAAAGCCCGCUCGCCGGAAGACCAAGGGUUCCUGUCCAACGUUAAUCGGGGCAGGGUGAGUCGACCCCUAAGGCGAGGCCGAAAGGCGUAGUCGAUGGGAAACAGGUUAAUAUUCCUGUACUUGGUGUUACUGCG
rnacentral:rRNA from 1 species